AACAAAGUUCUGGGCAAAUUCCAUUAACGUAUCUCUGAAUAUAUCAGUGUAGUGGCACAAUUAGGGAAACAUUUUGAUCUGAAUGACCACACUUGAUUUUCCAACAAUCUUACAAGAUAGUCAAGGCAAGUAUUUGUGCCAUUUCAUACAUGAAGAAGCUGAGAAUCUCAGCCAUUAGGUCAUCACCAGGCAACAUGGAACAGGACCGCUAGAGGUCUCACAGCAACUCUAGCACUGUCCCUCUGCCCCUGCCAUCUGUCCGUAGUUGUGAAUGAGCAUUUAGAGUCAUUUCCUACGUACAAUAUCACUUUGCCCUGAAGCACAGUAGUAUCAGCUAGACAACAUCACACUUAAGAUCCUUCUAAUCUUAUGAUUUAAUGUGACGGUUUUCCAUUAUGGGAUUCAGUACUUUCAAAAGGCCUGUAUAUCCAGCCCUACACGAGCGUCUUUUCUGGACCUGCCCCGACCUCUGCACUUUUUCCUGUCUCUUCAUCAAAACAUCUAGCCAACAAAUUGUCCAUAGAGAUAAUGCCUCCCCAGCCAACAGGAGAGCUGAGAUCUGUUCUCUUGGGGAACUGAAUGACUAUGGCUUUGGAUUUGGAGACAGUUGCCAUAUGGGGACAUAAAGAAUAAGUGAAGAUUGAAGUGAGCACCAGGCUGAAAUUAGCUCAACUAAAUAAAAGUCUAAAAAUUAACUGUGGGGACCUCA
rnacentral:lncRNA from 1 species